rnacentral:rRNA from 1 species
UACGUAGGGUGCAGGCGUUAAUCGGAAUUACUGGGCGUAAAGCGUGCGCAGGCGGUUUUGUAAGUCUGACGUGAAAUCCCCGGGCUCAACCUGGGAAUUGCGUUGGAGACUGCAAGGCUAGAGUUUGGCAGAGGGGGGUAGAAUUCCACGUGUAGCAGUGAAAUGCGUAGAUAUGUGGAGGAACACCGAUGGCGAAGGCAGCCCCCUGGGUCAAGACUGACGCUCAUGCACGAAAGCGUGGGGAGCAAACAGG